GCUAAGACACACACUAAACUAAACAGAGAGAAAGUGACUCACACAAACAAAAAGAAUAUCAUGCGAAAAGCAAUGGUGGAAGAUUCCAAAAACAGGGACCGAAUUCUAGACCGCCCGAUAGGUAGGAGAUUGUCCGCAUCACGACGGUUGAAAACCGAACGGGCUCAAUCUAUGUGAGUACAGUGCAGGACAACAAAUAUGUAUAAAAUGAAAAUUGACCUUUGAAUCUUCCAUUUAGACCAAAACUUCCGCAUGACAUUUUUGAGUUUAGCAAAGCCAUCUUGACUAGAAAACCUUGACCGAUUGAACCCUUGAAAAAGGUCCCAUACGGACCGAAACGUCGGGAAAAAUCAUAAACUAGUGUUUUCGAUUCCCCAAAAGACUGCAAAGCCAACAUUCCGAAGCAAAAUCAUCCCAGUCGCAUCCCAACCAAGUA